GGACUUUUACUUUGAUAUUUGGUUGAGAUGUGUUCUUUUAGGACUCGCGAGCUAUGUAGACGAAGGGGUGGAGAUGACGGUUGGAGACUGGAGUCAGUUUAGUUCCAGUGUGAAGAAGACUAGUGAUAAGAAACGUAACAUAUAAUAUAAUUGAAUACUGCUUUAUAUAAUGUAAUGUUUAUGCAUUAGUUUGUUUGUCGGUUAUUACCCCAGUUGUUUUUUAGGAGGGACGUAUUCUUUUGAUCGCUUUCACUGAGUUACCGUUAGCUGCUAACUUUAAGUUAUGUCGAGCUUCUCCGCUAGCCACACUGCUAACGGCCGGGACUGAAGAAAGACGGGACCGAAGAACAUCGCAAGGGAACCUGAGUGCUGUGGGAGCCACAGUAACGUGUUGCUGGGGAAAAGACAGCAGGACCAUUGACUUUUUUUGUUGAGUUGUUUGCAAGGAGGCAGCAAACGACUAGCCUAGUCUAGCCUAGCCUAGCCUAGCCUAGCCUUUUGGAACCUGAACUGAACCCAACACUGACCCAGCAGCUAUGUGAGUGGAGAGAACAUUGAGCUCCAACCUAUGGCUCCAACAUGCGCGCCUAUGAGUGGAUCACGGCUCUUGGCCCUCAGCUUGUUGACUUGGGACUCAGCGAUGUCAGCACGUUCCUGAGCCUCCUCAAACUCAUGCUGCACCUUCCUGUACCUGGACAGGAAACCAAUGACUCUCGUCAGAUCAUCGCUUUCUUCAGCAGCUGCUACUGUUUGAAUAGUGUCGCGAGUGAAAGAGGAGGACCGAUGCCAUCACAACACCUAGACCUAAGCCAAAAUGACAAUUGUGGGGACGGGCGGCAAAUUCACGAAUGCAAUGAUCUGGACAUUUAUCAACUAUGACGAGCUUCCUUGCCCUGUGGAGGAAGUAAGGGGAAAUAUAAGAUGCUACUGUUACACAAGAUCACGACUCUUGACCCUCAGCUUGUUGACUUGGGACUCAGCGAUGUCAGCACGUUCCUCAGCCUCUUCAAGCUCAUGCUGCACCUUCCUGUGUUUGGACAGAUUUCCUCACCUGCAUUUUGCCAGAGGUGGCCUCAGCUUUCUUUCCUCCUCCAGCCACUGCAAUUGUUGCAAAGUACUGGAUGACACGCUUGGUGUUGACAGUCUUCCCUGCACCAGAUUCUCCACUGGGAAUAAACAGAUGGAAAAGA